GAUGAAGAACGUAGCGAAAUGCGAUAAGUAAUGUGAAUUGCAGAAUUCAGUGAAUCAUCGAAUCUUUGAACGCACAUUGCGCCCCUUGGUAUUCCGGGGGGCAUGCCUGUUCGAGCGUCAUUAUAACCCCUCAAGCUCAGCUUGGUGUUGGGCCGCGCCGCUGCACCAGCAGCUGGCGGGCCUCAAAAUCAGUGGCGGUGCCGUCUCGGCUCUAAGCGUAGUAACAUCUCUCGCUCUGGAGACCUGGCGGUGGCUUGCCAGACAACCCCCAACUUUCUUUAAGGUUUGACCUCGGAUCAGGUAGGGAUACCCGCUGAACUUAAGCAUAUCAAUAAGCGGAGGA
rnacentral:misc_RNA from 1 species